UAAAACUUUCAACAACGGAUCUCUUGGCUCUGGCAUCGAUGAAGAACGCAGCGAAAUGCGAUAAGUAAUGUGAAUUGCAGAAUUUAGUGAAUCAUCGAAUCUUUGAACGCACAUUGCGCCCCUUGGUAUUCCGAGGGGCAUGCCUGUUCGAGCG
rnacentral:rRNA from 1 species